rnacentral:rRNA from 1 species
UACAGAGGGUGCGAGCGUUGUCCGGAAUCACUGGGCGUAAAGGGUGCGUAGGCGGGUCUUUAAGUCAGGGGUGAAAUCCUGGAGCUCAACUCCAGAACUGCCUUUGAUACUGAAGAUCUUGAGUUCGGGAGAGGUGAGUGGAACUGCGAGUGUAGAGGUGAAAUUCGUAGAUAUUCGCAAGAACACCAGUGGCGAAGGCGGCUCACUGGCCCGAUACUGACGCUGAGGCACGAAAGCGUGGGGAGCAAACAGGG